UUUUGAGAAAAAGGUAGCAUGCUAUUCGCUUCAUUCAAUUAGACGAUGAUAAUAAAAGAAAAUAUUAAGUAUAGAUAGUCAAUUAUUAAACUAAUAUAUAGUCUAUAUCAAUAAAUAAAAUUGUUAAUUUUGAUACUGCUUGAUUAAUAAAAAAAUAAAAUAGAAAAGCAUGAAUUUUAGUUUCUAGCAACAUCAAACACUCUGGAAGGUCUCAAGCGGCAUGAAUUGACAAUUUAAAUGCUCGAACAUUAAUUUAAAAAAUAAAUUUUGUCACAAAUUGAAAAACCAUAAAUACAUUAUAUCUCAACUUUAUUAAAUAAAUUCCUACCAAAACAUUAGCAACCAUAUUAAUAUUAAUUCAUUAUAACUCAUAGAAAAAAUUGCAACCAACAAACCAAUUUCAACACCGACCGUCCCUAAAGCAAGUAGCAAAGGACUUGGUGGUUGGUACCCGAGAUCCCAAGUUCGAAUCCUAGUUGAUUCACAUUUUCAGCUAAGUUUAUUUCUAAAUGAAAUAAACGAAGCGGAUAGCGUACUACCUAUUUUUCUCUCAAAAAAAAAAGCAAACCAAUUUCAACCUUCAAUAUUCCAAAAAAAUCUCAUCAAUCCAACAAUAUUAUCCAACUCAAAACGAACACUUAGUUAUUAAACCCACCAAUCACUCAACACUUGACACUUGACAC
rnacentral:lncRNA from 1 species